GAAAGUAAAGAAGGGCGCAUGGCGGAUGCCUUGGCUCUCGGAGGCGAUGAAGGACGUGAUAAGCUGCGAUAAGCUUCGGGUAGGUGCAAAUAACCUUUGAUCCGAAGAUUUCCGAAUGGGACAACCCGGCAUUCUGAAGGAAUGUCAUCCAACUUUGUUGGAGGCUAACGCAGGGAACUGAAACAUCUUAGUACCUGCAGGAAAAGAAAAUAAACAAUGAUUCCCCCAGUAGUGGCGAGCGAACGGGGAACAGCCCAAACCAUCCAUGUUACGGCAUGGGUGGGGUUGUAGGACUACGCCGUUGCAUGAAGACAUCAGAGAAGAACUUUCUGGAAAGAAAGACCAUAGAGCAUGACAGUUGCGUAUUCGAAUGUUGUCGAAGCAUAGUAGUAUCCUGAGUAGCGCGGAGCACGAGGAAUUCUGCGUGAAUCUGCCGGGACCAUCCGGUAAGGCUAAAUACUCCCGAGAGACCGAUAGCGAACCAGUACUGUGAAGGAAAGGUGAAAAGCACUUCGAAUAGAAGAGUGAAAUAGUCCCUGAAACCGUGCGCCUACAAGCGGUCGGAGCUGUGUAAACAGUGACGGCGUGCCUUUUGCAUAAUGAACCUACGAGUUACUUUUUCCGGCAAGGUUAAGGAUCUUGAGAUCCGCAGCCGAAGCGAAAGCGAGUCUGAACAGGGCGGAUAGUCGGAAGGAGUAGACGCGAAACCAAGUGAUCUACCCUUGGGCAGGUUGAAGGUUAGGUAACACUAACUGGAGGACCGAACCGAUAAGCGUUGAAAAGCUUCCGGAUGACCUGAGGGUGGGGGUGAAAGGCUAAUCAAACUUGGAGAUAGCUCGUACUCCCCGAAAUGCAUUUAGGUGCAGCCUUGUGAGUUACUAAUGUGAGGUAGAGCGACUGAUAAGAUGCGAGGGCUUCACCGCCUAUCAAGUCUUGACAAACUCCGAAUGCGUGUCAGUUCUAUGUCAGGAGUGAGGGCAUGGGUGCUAAGGUCCAUGUCCUAAAGGAGAACAAUCCGGACCAACAGCUAAGGUCCCGAAAUGAAUACUAAGUUGAACUAACGAAGUCAGAUUGCUAAGACAGCUAGGAUGUUGGCUUGGAAGCAGCCAUUCAUUUAAAGAGUGCGUAACAGCUCACUAGUCGAGGAGUUUUGCAUGGAUAAUAAUCGGGCAUAAGCCCUUUACCGAAGCUGUGGAUGUCGUAAGACAUGGUAGGGGAGCAUUCCGGCGGCGACGAAGGCCGUCCUCGAGGACGACUGGAGCUUUCGGAAAAGCAAAUGUAGGUAUAAGUAACGAUAAAGGGGGCGUGAAACCCCCUCGCCAUAAGACUAAGGAUUCCUGAUCAACGCUAAUCGGAUCAGGGUAAGUCGGGCCCUAAGGCGCAGCCGAACGGCGUAGCCGAUGGAAGAAACGGUAAAGAUUCCGUUACUGGAUAUAGGAGCGAUGUGGAGACGGAGAAGUGACACACCCGCCUGCCGACGGAAGCGCAGGUUAAAGGAAGUAGGUAAACGCCGGGUAGGCAAAUCCGCCUGGCGUGCCGAAACUGACAGUAUCGAGAGCCCCCGGGCAAUCGAAUAGCGGUGGUAAUCAGGCUCCCAAGAAAAUCCGCUAAGCAUAUUCUAUAUCCACCCGUACCCCAAACGGACACACGUAGUCGGGUAGAAUAUACCAAGGCGCUCGAAAGACUCACGGUUAAGGAACUAGGCAAAUUGACCCUGUAACCUCGGGAAAAAGGGUCCCCAGUAAGAUGGGGCGCAGAGAAUAGGUCCAGGCAACUGUUUAACAAAAACACAGGGCUGUGCGAAAUUUCAAGAUGAAGUAUACAGCCUGACACCUGCCCGGUGCCGGAAGGUUAAGAGGAGAGCUAAUCGCAAGAGAAGGCUUGAAUUGAAGCCCCGGUAAACGGCGGCCGUAACUAUAACGGUCCUAAGGUAGCGAAAUUCCUUGUCGGGU
rnacentral:rRNA from 1 species